rnacentral:lncRNA from 1 species
GAAACAUCAGUAUCUGUUUUAGCACGAUAAGCUUCGUAAAUAUAGGAAUCAUUUCCGAAACCCCAUAUACCAUGGCCUUAAUCAUCAUUUCCGUAUAAGUCCUUAGUAGUUUAUCUCAACAGUCAGCUUCGGCCUACACAUCCUCUACGUAGGGGAUCGAUGCAAAUAAGUGAAUGAUCCAGAAAAACAAAAAAAUAAAAGAAAGCAAAAAGGUAACUCUGGUAUAGGUGACCCUCACAAAGUCAUUUAAACCAAAGAAUU